UAAAACCCUAAGGAUAGAGAGUCGCUGCCCUCCCCUUAUUUUAUUUUAUUUUAUUCUCUUUCUCUUCCUCAUCCUUCUUUAUUUUUUUUUUUCUUCUUUCUCCCCUUGUUUCUUUCUUUUCUGUUCUUUCUUUCUUCUACCUUCUCCCUCGGUCUGUUUCUUUUCUUUCUUUCCUUUCUUUUCUUUCUUUUCAUCUGCAUCUCCAUCUUCAUCUCCGAUUUCCCAUCUUUAUUUGAAAAAAAAAUCAAUAUCAAGAGUGAGAUUAAAAAGUUCUCCAUAUGGUGGUGCAAUUGGCGACCCGGGGGUGCGACCAUCGGAGAGUGAUGUGGCGGUGCGGAGAAGAUCGACGAAGAAAAGUGCAGCAAUGCGAUGGUGGAUUUUUUUCCCCUUUUUUCUCCGCUUGUCGUUUAUGAGAUUCAUUCACUCUUGCACGUGUACGAAUCUUAAAAAGGGACAUUUUUUGAGUAAGAAAUUUUGGCCAAUUAAAUUCUACCACUUCAUCACAACAAACUUUAGUAACUUUUGAAUCACUUAGAGGGACAACAAACGAGAAUGACACAAGAAACUUUCGUAACCCAAUUCAGCCAAUGAUGCCUACGUCUGGGGAGCUGCGCACAGCCCAGAUGAGUAAUUUUAUUAAGAUUCACUUUCAGUCAAAAUACAUAGAAUUAGGACAUGAACUUUUUUCUACUAUAUGACUAUUUAACAUGCUUAAUAGCUUCAGACAUCAGGCUCCCCCUGAAUGCAUGAGUCAUCAUUCUCGAUGUUGUCUGACUUUAGGCUCUCAUGAAUGCAUUAGUGAAUCUUUCGAACGUUGUUUUCAUACUCUAAUGAAGUUUCCGCUGUGAUCACUCAAA